GACGAACGCUGGCGGCGUGCUUAACACAUGCAAGUCGAACGAUGAUGCCCAGCUUGCUGGGUGGAUUAGUGGCGAACGGGUGAGUAACACGUGAGUAACCUGCCCCUGACUCUGGGAUAAGCGUUGGAAACGACGUCUAAUACUGGAUAUGAUCACUGGCCGCAUGGUCUGGUGGUGGAAAGAUUUUUUGGUUGGGGAUGGACUCGCGGCCUAUCAGCUUGUUGGUGAGGUAAUGGCUCACCAAGGCGACGACGGGUAGCCGGCCUGAGAGGGUGACCGGCCACACUGGGACUGAGACACGGCCCAGACUCCUACGGGAGGCAGCAGUGGGGAAUAUUGCACAAUGGGCGAAAGCCUGAUGCAGCAACGCCGCGUGAGGGAUGACGGCCUUCGGGUUGUAAACCUCUUUUAGUAGGGAAGAAGCGAAAGUGACGGUACCUGCAGAAAAAGCACCGGCUAACUACGUGCCAGCAGCCGCGGUAAUACGUAGGGUGCAAGCGUUGUCCGGAAUUAUUGGGCGUAAAGAGCUCGUAGGCGGUUUGUCGCGUCUGCUGUGAAAUCCCGAGGCUCAACCUCGGGCUUGCAGUGGGUACGGGCAGACUAGAGUGCGGUAGGGGAGAUUGGAAUUCCUGGUGUAGCGGUGGAAUGCGCAGAUAUCAGGAGGAACACCGAUGGCGAAGGCAGAUCUCUGGGCCGUAACUGACGCUGAGGAGCGAAAGCGUGGGGAGCGAACAGGAUUAGAUACCCUGGUAGUCCACGCCGUAAACGUUGGGCGCUAGAUGUAGGGACCUUUCCACGGUUUCUGUGUCGUAGCUAACGCAUUAAGCGCCCCGCCUGGGGAGUACGGCCGCAAGGCUAAAACUCAAAGGAAUUGACGGGGGCCCGCACAAGCGGCGGAGCAUGCGGAUUAAUUCGAUGCAACGCGAAGAACCUUACCAAGGCUUGACAUACACCGGAAACGGCCAGAGAUGGUCGCCCCCUUGUGGUCGGUGUACAGGUGGUGCAUGGUUGUCGUCAGCUCGUGUCGUGAGAUGUUGGGUUAAGUCCCGCAACGAGCGCAACCCUCGUUCUAUGUUGCCAGCGCGUUAUGGCGGGGACUCAUAGGAGACUGCCGGGGUCAACUCGGAGGAAGGUGGGGAUGACGUCAAAUCAUCAUGCCCCUUAUGUCUUGGGCUUCACGCAUGCUACAAUGGCCGGUACAAAGGGCUGCGAUACCGUAAGGUGGAGCGAAUCCCAAAAAGCCGGUCUCAGUUCGGAUUGAGGUCUGCAACUCGACCUCAUGAAGUCGGAGUCGCUAGUAAUCGCAGAUCAGCAACGCUGCGGUGAAUACGUUCCCGGGCCUUGUACACACCGCCCGUCAAGUCAUGAAAGUCGGUAACACCCGAAGCCGGUGGCCUAACCCUUGUGGAAGGAGCCGUCGAAGGUGGGAUCGGUGAUUAGGACUAAGUCGUAACAAGGUAGCCGUACCGGAAGG
rnacentral:rRNA from 2 species